UGCGUAGGCGGAAUAUUAAGUCAGUGGUGAAAUCCUGCGGCCCAACCGUAGAACUGCCAUUGAUACUGAUAUUCUUGAAUAUAGUUGAGGUAAGCGGAAUGUGUAAUGUAGCGGUGAAAUGCUUAGAUAUUACACAGAACACCGAUUGCGAAGGCAGCUUGCUAAACUAUUAUUGACGCUGAUGCACGAAAGCGUGGGGAGCGAACAGGAUUAGAUACCCUGGUAGUCC
rnacentral:rRNA from 1 species